CAGUCGCCGCGGGAAUACGAAGGGUGCAAGCGUUAAUCGGAAUUACUGGGCGUAAAGCGUGCGUAGGCGGUUUGUUAAGUCUGUCGUGAAAUCCCCGGGCUCAACCUGGGAAUGGCAAUGGAUACUGGCAAGCUAGAGUGUGUCAGAGGAUGGUGGAAUUCCCGGUGUAGCGGUGAAAUGCGUAGAGAUCGGGAGGAACAUCAGUGGCGAAGGCGGCCAUCUGGGACAACACUGACGCUGAGGCACGAAAGCGUGGGGAGCAAACAGGAUUAGAUACCCCCGUAGUCCCUGUCUCUUAUAC
rnacentral:rRNA from 1 species